rnacentral:tRNA from 1 species
GGAAAGGUGGCCGAGCGGUUGAAGGCACUGGUCUUGAAAACCAGCAAGGAGAAAUCCUUCGUGGGUUCGAAUCCCACCCUUUCCGCCA